GACGAACGCUGGCGGCGUGCUUAACACAUGCAAGUCGAACGGAAAGGCCCUGCUUGCAGGGUACUCGAGUGGCGAACGGGGGAGUAACACGUGGGUGAUCUGCCCUGCACUUCGGGAUAAGCCUGGGGAACUGGGGCUAAUACCGGGUAGGAGCCAUUUUUAGUGUGAUGGUUGGAAAGUUUUUUCGGUGUAGGAUGAGCUCGCGGCCUAUCAGCUUGUUGGUGGGGUAAUGGCCUACCAAGGCGGCGACGGGUAGCCGGCCUGAGAGGGUGGACGGCCACAUUGGGACUGAGAUACGGCCCAGACUCCUACGGGAGGCAGCAGUGGGGAAUAUUGCACAAUGGGCGCAAGCCUGAUGCAGCGACGCCGCGUGGGGGAUGACGGCCUUCGGGUUGUAAACUCCUUUCGCUAGGGACGAAGCUUUUUGUGACGGUACCUAGAUAAGAAGCACCGGCUAACUACGUG
rnacentral:rRNA from 1 species